UGUGUGUGUGUGUGUGUUCACGUAUAUGCGCGCGGCAGUGGCUUACCUAGCAGCAGCAGCGGCAGCGGCAGUCUGCAUGUGGGCUCGAGCCGGAGCUGAAGCAUCCGGGCCGAACUGCGCAGAGAUGCGGUGCACGUAGACGCGACAUGCGGACACACCGCCUCACCUCCCCGCGCUGAUGUCAUGGUUAAAAACACCGUUAAGAUAUUAUUUGUUUGUUUUGCAAUGGCGGCGCUAAAGUCGAAGUGAACAGCUCCGUUGGUCGGUCCGCUCGCCUGCCCGGGAGUGCACAGUUUUCUUUUUUUUUCUCACUCUUUUGCCAGGGCAAGGAGCCAAGACAGUGAAAUCCGUUUUUUUUUUGUUCUUUUUCUAUCGAGUAUUGUAUAAGGAAUCAUGACUUCGGGGCAGGACGAUAGCUCAGUCCGUGUGGCACUCAGAAUCCGCCCUCAGCUGGCCAGGGAGAAGAUAGAGGGAUGUCACAUCUGUACGUAUGUGAUGCCCGGGGAGCCUCAGGUGAUCCUGGGGAAAGACAAGUCCUUCACCUACGACUACAUGUUUGACAUGGACUCCCAGCAGGACACCAUCUACGCCGCCUGCACGGAGAAGCUGAUUGAGGGCUGUUUUGAGGGCUACAACGCCACCGUCUUUGCAUACGGACAGACGGGUUCAGGGAAGACCUACACCAUGGGGACGGGCUUUGACGUCAACAUUGAAGAGGAGGAGCUGGGUAUCAUCCCCCGCGCCGUCCACCACCUCUUCAAGGGCAUCGAGCAGCGCAGACAGGCCGCUCAGGAACAGGGACGCCCCGUACCGGAGUUUAAGAUCAACGCCCAAUUCCUCGAGCUUUAUAAUGAGGACGUUCUGGAUCUGUUUGAAUCCACACGAGACACAAAGCAGAAAUCUCACAUCAAGAUCCACGAAGACGCCACAGGGGGAAUCUACACAGUAGGAGUGACCACACGGAGCGUGUCCUCCGAGGCUGAGAUGAUGCAGUGCCUGAAGCUCGGGGCUCUGUCUCGCACCACAGCCAGCACUCAGAUGAAUGUCCAGAGCUCUCGAUCCCACGCCAUCUUCACCAUCCACCUGUGCCAAGUUCGAGUCUGUGCCUCCGACAAUCAAGAAAGUGAGACUGAUAACAGAGUCUCCAACGGAAAUUCUGAGAUGGACGAGUACGAGACGCUGACAGCCAAGUUUCACUUUGUGGACCUGGCCGGUUCUGAGAGGCUGAAGAGAACCGGAGCGACGGGCGAUCGAGCCAAAGAGGGCAUCUCCAUCAACUGUGGACUGCUCGCUCUGGGGAAUGUUAUCAGUGCUUUGGGCGACCGGAGCAAGCGGUCCUCACAUGUGCCUUACAGAGACUCCAAACUCACCCGACUUCUACAGGAUUCAUUAGGAGGAAACAGCCAAACAGUGAUGAUCGCCUGCAUCAGCCCGUCUGACCGGGACUUCAUGGAGACGCUGAACACGUUAAAGUACGCCAACCGAGCCCGGAACAUCAAGAACAAGGUGAUGGUGAACCAGGACAAGGCCAGCCAGCAGAUCAGCGCUCUGAGAACGGAGAUCGCUCGACUGCAGAUAGAGCUGAUGGAGUACAAGACGGGUAAACGCUUGAUGGGUGAGGACGGCGUGGAGAGCUUCAGCGACAUGUUCCACGAGAACUCCAUGCUGCAGACGGAGAACAGCAACCUGAGGGUGAGAGUGAAGGCCAUGCAGGAGACCAUCGAUGCCCAGAGGGCGCGUCUCACCCAGCUGAUCAGUGACCAGGCCAACCAGGUCCUUGCCAGGGCAGGUGAAGGUGGAACUGAAGAAAUUGGAAACAUGAUUCAGGGUUACAUCAAAGAGAUUGAAGACCUCAGAGCCAAACUCCUGGAGAGCGAAGCCGUGAACGAGCAUUUGAGAAAGAAUCUGACCCGUGCCUCCAAUCGUCAGUCGUUGUACGGAGGGCCCGCGCUGCUGGCCCCCGAGAAGGAGACUUCUGACAUCAUCGAACUCGCCAAGAAAGACCUGGAGAAACUGAAGAAACGAGAAAAAAAGAAAAAGAAAAGUGCCAACAAGGAGGAAGUUCCUGACAAUGAGCAAGAAAAGGGCACAGAGAAGGAAAUGACGGAGCGAGUCCACGAGGAAGCAGAAAUUGAGGUCCAGGAAGGCAGCGACCACGAGGAAGGGGAAGAGGAAGAGGAUGAGGAGGAAGAGGAGAUGGAUGUGGAGGAGAGCUCAGAUGAUUCGGACUCUGAGUCAGAUGAAAAAGAGAACUUCCAGGCCGAUCUGGCCAACAUCACCUGCGAGAUCGCCAUCAAGCAGAAGCUGAUCGACGAGCUGGAGAACAGCCAACGGCGUCUGCACACGCUCAAACAGCAGUAUGAACAGAAGCUGAUGAUGCUGCAGUGCAAGAUCAGGGACACCCAGCUGGAGAGGGACCGUGUACUCCAAAACAUGAAUACAGUAGAAACUGGCACAGACGACAAGUCUCGCAAGAUCAAGGCUGAAUAUGAGAAGAAGCUGAGCGUUAUGAACAAAGAGCUUCAGAAGCUCCAGUCGGCUCAGAAGGAGCAUGCCCGUCUGCUGAAGAACCAAUCGCAGUACGAGAAACAGCUGAAGAAGCUUCAGAUGGACGUGGCGGAAAUGAAGAAGACGAAGGUCCGUCUUAUGAAGCAGAUGAAGGAGCAGCAGGAGAAGAACAGGAUGAACGAGUCACGCAGAAACCGAGAAAUUGCUUCGUUAAAGAAAGACCAGCGCAAGCAAGAGCACCAGCUAAAAUUACUGGAGGCUCAGAAAAGGCAGCAGGAGCUUAUUCUGAGGAGAAAGACGGAGGAGGUGACGGCUCUGCGGAGGCAGGCCAGGCCCACUUCAGGUAAGGUCAUCAGGAGAGUCAAUGUCCCAGAAUCAGUGCAGGACUCCACCCACAGACCUCCGUCUGGACGCUUGUACUCCUCCGGCAACGCUGCUCCCAACGGUACUCGGUAUACCUACAGGCGCACAGUCGGUAUUUACUCCACCAGAAUCGCACGUAAUAAAUGGCAGUCUCUGGAGCGGCGGAUCACUGACGUCAUCAUGCAAAGGAUGACCAUCUCCAACAUGGAGGCCGACAUGAACCGCCUCCUCAAGCAACGAGAGGAGCUGACCAAGCGUAAAGAGAAGGUCAUCCGGAAGAGGGAGCGGCUGGACAGGGAGGGCCCUGAAGCCGAGAAGGCAGCGCUUCCCCUCAACGAGGAAGUGGAUGCGUUGACGGCCAACAUUGAUUACAUCAAUGACAGCAUCGCAGACUGUCAGGCCAACAUCAUGCAGAUGGAGGAAACCAAGGAGGAAGGCGACACAGUGGACAUUUCUGCUGUGAUUGGUUCCUGUACCUUGACAGAAGCUCGUUUUCUGUUGGAUCACUUUAUGUCCAUGGCUAUCAACAAGGGUCUCCAGGCAGCCCAGAGGGAGUCUCAGGUGAAGGUGAUGGAGGGGCGGCUGAAGCAGACGGAGAUCACCAGCGCCACACAGAACCAGCUGCUCUUUCACAUGCUGAAGGAGAAGGCCGAGUUCAACCCUGAGCUGGAUGCCCUGCUGGGGAAUGCGCUGCAAGAACUAGGUAACGUCCCGGCUGAAAAUGGGGAUGAUAGCAGCAGUGAUGAGUCUGCCCAGAGCCCUUCUGCAGAGGGAAACACCUUGACGUCAGAUCUCAUGAAACUUUGCGGCGAGACCAAAACAAGAAAUAAGGCUCGUAGGAGGACCACCACUCAGAUGGAGUUGCUGUACGCAAACAGUGACUCAGCCGCCGACCCACCCACCGCAGACUUCUCCAGUCCAAUGCUGCCGUUAGCUGAAACACCGGACGGGGGAGGAGACAUGGAGUCAUCGGGCUCAUCAGUCAGGGACUACACAGCUCUCUCUCCCGGCUUUUCCUCUAAAAUGGGCAGCAUUUCUGGAUCCAGAACUUCGUCAGGGAUGGAAAAGCCAUCGCCAGAGCCUUCCCCGUUUUCUCGCAGGAAGACCUAUAACAAGGCACAAGCAGCGGCUGACAGGGCAAAGGUCAAGGAGAUUAAACACCCAGUCAUCGGGAACCAGAAGAGCAGCCUGCCUCGUCCUCGCUCUGCUACCGCUUGUCCCAGUAACCACGUUGCUGCGUUUAGCCGUAUGACAGGGUAUCUGGGGCGUACUGCAAACGUCUUACAGGAUAAGACGAAUCGAUGCCUCCACCUGUCCUGCAACCACAUCCUGCCUUCUGUUUCCCCUCCUCUCACCAAUCCACCCAAGGGCGUCAUUAACCCGGUGCCACCCACUAAAAGCAGUCGGUCUGCGACGUUGCAGUGCGUCCACGUGGCAGAGGGACACAGCAAAGCUGUUCUCUGUGUCGACUGCACUGAUGACCUUCUCUUCACUGGAUCCAAAGACCGGACCUGUAAGGUGUGGAAUCUGGUGACUGGUCAGGAGAUAAUGUCCCUGGCUGGUCAUCCCAACAACGUGGUGUCAGUCCGCUACAGCUCCAGUUUGGUCUUCACUGUCUCCACCUCCUACAUCAAAGUCUGGGACAUCCGGGACUCGGCCAAGUGCAUCCGGAUACUAACGUCCUCUGGUCAGGUUACUGUUGGGGAUGUCUGUGCGUCUAACACCAGCCGGACGGUCACCAUCCCAGCAGGAGAGAACCAGAUCAACCAGAUCGCUCUCAACCCCAACGGGACGGUUCUGUACGCCGCCGCCGGAAACUCCGUCAGAGUCUGGGAUCUUCGAAGGUUUGCAUCCACAGGGAAACUUACUGGUCACCUCGGUCCGGUGAUGUGUCUGACUGUGGAUCAGUCUGGAAACAACCAAGACCUGGUGAUCACCGGGUCCAAGGACCACUACAUCAAGCUGUUUGACGUGACUGAAGGCUCGUUGGGGAGCAUCGGCCCCACACACAACUUUGAACCUCCCCAUUAUGAUGGCAUCGAGUCACUGGUGGUCCAGGGGGACAUUUUCUUCAGCGGCUCUCGAGACAACGGCAUCAAGAAGUGGGACCUGGACCGCAAAGACCUGCUGCAGCAAGUCCCUAACGCCCACCGUGACUGGGUUUGUGCGCUGGGUGUUGUCCCCGGGUCCCCGGCCCUGCUGAGCGGCUGCAGAGGUGGGGUGCUCAAGCUGUGGCACACGGACACACUGGGGACUCUGGGGGAGCUGAAGGGCCACGAGAGCCCCAUCAACGGCAUCUCUACCAACAGCAGCCACCUGUUCACCGCCUCUGAUGACCGGACUGUGAAGAUCUGGCGUGCACGUGGUGGACUGGACAGCACUUUAGAGGCGGUUGACAAUGCAGACGAGGUGGCCAGUAACUGAACGCUCUGAAAGGACACUACGGGCAUCUUUUGAUGCUGCUGCCCUGCACUUUGACCCUUAACUUCUCAAGCCCAGUGCUGACUCCUAAAACACAUACUCUCCACGCCAUGUAACGUUUAUGUCUGGGCCAACAGGAAAGUAAUCUCCUCUCAGAAACUAGCACAGUCAUUCUUUUCUUAGACUCUGUGUGCUCAGAAAGUCGUAAUUCUCAUAGUUCACCGUAUUGUUAAUGACUCUUUGCAGGAUAAACUCAUAUUUUUCUCUUUUGCACUGGAGACGUUACGUCACCGUGGCUCAUGAUCAGAACCUGUACUCACAAGAUGUUUAUUUAAGAGUUGAACAUGUCUCACACACAGAGAAAAUAUCUCUGCUGCUCAGCUCUGUGCCAGGAUAAAGUACACCUGCGGGCACAUAAUUACCCAGGAAAAGGCUAGCAGAGUUACAUUAGAAAAGAAACUGGACAGGACGACGCGUUUAGAGGAGAAAAGUGUGGCAGAGCUAACGGGUUGGUAGCUGGUCUUCGCAACCUGGAUUAUUUCUCUGCAAUGUAAGCAGAACCAAUGCCCCCCCCACCCCCCUUCUCCCCCCCAAUGUGAAAAAGACAAAUCACCCCUUAACUUUUCCUGCUUUUGUGCCCCUCAGUUUCUGCGGCUAUUUUAAGAUCCGCGACCAAAAUUGGGCAAACUUGUCGUCUUUGCUCAUAUCAGUCGGUUUUAAAAUAAGGCUACAGCCAGCAGCUGCUUAGCUUAGCUUAGUUUAGUUUAGCAUAGCGACUGGAAAAGGGAAAAAACUGCUAGUCUCGCUCUGUCCAACGGUAAGAAAAUCUAACUUCUAGCCCAAAGCUAGAAAAAAAUGACUUUGUAUGGUUUUGCUCACAACCAAUCACUGCAAGCGUUCUUCGAUUUAAUGUGACGUGUGAUUGGCCCACUACUGCAGCAGCUACAAGAGGUGGGAGGUGCUUUUAUUACCUUAAGUCAGCCCUAGUUAGUCUUCUCAUCUGCUUCUGUAAUAAAGAGAAUAAGUGUAUUUCCCAAAAUGUCAAACUAUUCCUUUAACUAUUGAGCACUUGUGAAAACCGACACAAUUAGUCUUUGAGAUGCACUUAAUUCUUCGUAAAUGUGAUCAGGUUCAGCGUUUGAGGGUAUUCUACACUUAUUUCAUCGUAUGUAAAAUUGUAUGUUCACUCUUCACAUAUUGCAGUUAACACUCACUGAAUCUACACUUCUGAGUCGUCGUCUAGUGCCCAUGCUGCUAAGUUGUGUGCUCACCUCCUUCUCUCAACCCCAUAAGAGGGCUUCUUGUCAUGGACUCCGGGCCUUCAGACUCUGCCCGUGUUGUGAGCCUAACCACAUCUGUCUCCCAGUUCUGAUCCUUGUGGGGCCUUCCUUGAGACACCCGCGGUCUCCCUGAUGUAACCGAUGUGUCUGUCGCGAUUGUGAGCUGUCACUUUUGAAUGUUCGGUGAAACAACAGUUGUAGGCAUUAUCGAAGCACGUAUCUGAUGUAUGUAAACAACGUAUUAAAAAUGAAGUCUGACUGAAUGUUAGUUUUGCGGGACCACGAUCUGAGCAGUCUCACACGAGAGCCGAGAAGACCUGAGUUGGAAGGAAGACUGACGAGCUUUAAUGCUUUUCCUCCAAUGAGGUGGCAGAUUGUGUUUACUGGCCUACGGUUAGUUUUGUUUUUCUUGAUUUUGUUUAAAUGCUGUCCCUGUUCCACAUAGCCUGGGUGUUCUCACUCGGAGUUUUAGAAGCCAUUCCCAAGUGGCGGACUCUGUAGCGAUUCUAAUGUCAGAUGCCUUGGUGAGAAUAAACGCCAUCUGUCAAAAACAA